rnacentral:rRNA from 1 species
AUUGAACGCUGGCGGCAUGCCUUACACAUGCAAGUCGAACGGUAACGGGCCUUCGGGUGCCGACGAGUGGCGAACGGGUGAGUAAUACAUCGGAACGUGCCCGAUCGUGGGGGAUAACGAGGCGAAAGCUUUGCUAAUACCGCAUACGAUCUACGGAUGACAGCAGGGGACCGCAAGGCCUUGCGCGGACGGAGCGGCCGAUGGCAGAUUAGGUAGUUGGUGGGAUAAAAGCUUACCAAGCCGACGAUCUGUAGCUGGUCUGAGAGGAUGAUCAGCCACACUGGGACUGAGACACGGCCCAGACUCCUACGGGAGGCAGCAGUGGGGAAUUUUGGACAAUGGGCGCAAGCCUGAUCCAGCCAUGCCGCGUGAAGGAUGAAGGCCCUCGGGCUGUAAACUGCUUUUGUACGGAACGAAAAGCAUUCUUUUAAUACAGGAGGGUCAUGACGGUACCGUAAGAAUAAGCACCGGCUAACUACGUG